GAUGAACGCUGGCGGCGUGCCUAAUACAUGCAAGUCGAGCGAACGGACGAGAAGCUUGCUUCUCUGAUGUUAGCGGCGGACGGGUGAGUAACACGUGGAUAACCUACCUAUAAGACUGGGAUAACUUCGGGAAACCGGAGCUAAUACCGGAUGAUAUUUUGAGCCGCAUGGUUCAAAAGUGAAAGACGGUCUUGCUGUCACUUAUAGAUGGAUCCGCGCUGCAUUAGCUAGUUGGUAAGGUAACGGCUUACCAAGGCAACGAUGCAUAGCCGACCUGAGAGGGUGAUCGGCCACACUGGAACUUAGACACGGUCCAGACUCCUACGGGAGGCAGCAGUAGGGAAUCUUCCGCAAUGGGCGAAAGCCUGACGGAGCAACGCCGCGUGAGUGAUGAAGGUCUUCGGAUCGUAAAACUCUGUUAUUAGGGAAGAACAUAUGUGUAAGGAACUGUGCACAUCUUGACGGUACCUAAUCAGAAAGCCACGGCUAACUACGUG
rnacentral:rRNA from 1 species